rnacentral:rRNA from 1 species
UUUUAGAAAUUAAUUUAAAGUCUAACCUGCCCACUGAAUUUUUUUUUAAAUGGCCGCAGUAUCCUAACUGUGCAAAGGUAGCAUAAUCAUUAGUCUUUUAAUUAAAGGCUGGAAUGAAUGGUUGAAUGAAAUAUUAACUGUUUCAUAUAAAUUUAUAAUAAAAUUUUAUUUUUUAGUCAAAAAGCUAAAAUAUUAUUAAAAGACGAGAAGACCCUAUAAAUCUUUAUAUUUUAAUAAUUUUAAUUAUAUAGAUAAAUUAAAUUAUUAUUAUUUAAAAUAUUUUAUUGGGGUGAUAUUAAAAUUUAAUAAACUUUUAAUUUAUAAUUAACAUAAAUUAAUGAAUUAUUGAUCCAUUUAUUAUGAUUAAAAAAUUAAGUUACUUUAGGGAUAACAGCGUAAUUUUUUUAGAGAGUUCAUAUUGAUAAAAA